GACGAACGCUGGCGGCGUGCCCAAUACAUGCAAGUAGAACGCUGAAGCGAGGAGCUUGCUCUUCUUGGAUGAGUUGCGAACGGGUGAGUAACGCGUAGGUAACCUGCCUUGUAGCGGGGGAUAACUAUUGGAAACGAUAGCUAAUACCGCAUAACAAUGGAUGACACAUGUCAUUUAUUUGAAAGGGGCAAUUGCUCCACUACAAGAUGGACCUGCGUUGUAUUAGCUAGUAGGUGAGGUAAUGGCUCACCUAGGCGACGAUACAUAGCCGACCUGAGAGGGUGAUCGGCCACACUGGGAAUGAGACACGGCCCAGACUCCUACGGGAGGCAGCAGUAGGGAAUCUUCGGCAAUGGGGGCAACCCUGACCGAGCAACGCCGCGUGAGUGAAGAAGGGUUUCGGAUCGUAAAGCUCUGUUGUAAGUCAAGAACGGGUGUGAGAGUGGAAAGUUCACACUGUGACGGUAGCUUACCAGAAAGGGACGGCUAACUACGUG
rnacentral:rRNA from 1 species